AAGUCGUAACAAGGUUUCCGUAGGUGAACCUGCGGAAGGAUCAUUAACACGUAUCCAAACGUUAAACAACCCCGUGAACAUACAACCUGCUCUGGUCGCCCGCUCGCAUGGACAAGCCCAGUAAAUCAAGCCCCGGAAAGUUUUUGAUUUGGGACCUCUGUGCGCGUGAGAAAAACUGACAGCGAUUCAUAGAAGCGGUAAGGACGACUCUUCAAGAUUGCUAGAGGUCGACCACCGACCGGCUUCCGUGUAUACCGAGCUAACACCGCUCCCUUCCGAACCCCACUUUAUUGCCUUGCCUGUAAGCAUCCAUACGGAUGGGCAGGCCCCCCGAACAACUGUUAACAAUGGAUAUCUUGGUUCUC
rnacentral:misc_RNA from 1 species